AACCCUAAAGACCGUCUCAUACCUUCUCUCUCAUUCUCACUGUUCUGUUGCCGCUGAAAAUCGCCCCACGACGGCGGCCAACCACUAAUUAGCACUAAAUUAUCACCACAUAAUCUCCAUCAUCCCCCCAUACCUCUCUUACCAUUAGUUUUGUGAAAAAAACCCUAGGUUUUCUCUGUUAGUAGAUCUAAGAAUCUAUAGAAAACCUAAUUCCUCCCUUUGUGAUUUUUCCCAUCAAUUCUGGCCCGCUUGAACUCGAAAUCUACAUCAACUGAUUGCUCUAGAUAAGAGCAAUUGAUUGAUGUUAGUCUUGGUUCAUUUCACGGCUAUUGGAAUUAGGUCAAAAUAUCAUUGACCGGUCGGUUGCUCCUCAAUUGUUCCAUCAUGUUCCUCCAGCUUGUGGGCUUCCCUUUCAUCAAUUUGUUCGACCUCGAUAGAGGCCGGAGGCCGGAGAUGAGGAUGAUAAGAAAAAAGGAUCUAAAAUUUUAUCAUUCUCAACAAAGAGGAGUAGGGUUGUUGUUACUCACAACUAAUCUGAACGAGUUCCUCCAGCUUGUGGGCUUCCCUUUCAUCGUUUUUUCGACCUCGAUAGAAGCCGGAGGCGGGAGAUGAGAAUGGUAAGAAAAAAUGAUCUAAAAUUUCCUCAUUUUCAACAAAGAGGAGUAGGGUUGUUGUUACUCACAACCAAUCUGAACGCCAAUCCCCUUCUCCACCUCCUGAACUCAAAACCUACAUCAAUUAAUUGCUCUUGACGAGAGCAAUUGAUUGAUGUUAGUCUUGGUUCAUUUCAUGGCUAUUGGAAUUCGGUCGAAACAUCAUUGAUCGGUCAGUUGCUCCCCAAUUAUUCCAUCCUAUUCGUCCAGCUCGUGGGCUUCCCUUUCAUCGAUUUGUUCAACCUCGAUAGGUAUAUCUCUCCCUUGUAUCUUUCUGUGAAUUGCACAUUUAAUUGUUUAGUCACUUUAGGUUCAGUGGUUGUUUUAAUUGCAAAUUCCUUGUUUAGUUAUCAUGUUUUCAUUUCUAUGAAGAGUUUUUAGAUACUAUAUGGGUAAUUGGAUAUUAUUGUUAUAAGCUCGAUGAUUCAGUGGUGUUUAAUUACUUGAGAGUUUAAUUUAUGCUUAAUCGAGUAGUAUUUUUAUUUGUGGAUCAUUUAGGUAUUUGCCACUUUUGUGUAAUGGUAUUUAGGCAAGAAGUGGCAGUAGGCUUUGAUUUGGUUUAGGCCAAGCCUGGUUUUUGAGUUUGUAUUAGUGGAAUAAGCCCAGGUCUUUCAAAAUUAGCUCAUUCCGUAUUACAGGCCCAUUAAGAGUUUGAUUUAAAUGAGAUUGAGAAUUGAAUACAAGAGAAGAGGUAAAAUCUGGAAGAGGGGUAAAUGCUGAAGUAGCUAAGGGAAAUGUAGGGAAUUGGUUUAGAAAAUCUUAGUUAGUUAGAAAAUAAGCUUCUAAGAAAAGGAAAAAAGGGUUGUCUUUGCAAAAGAAAAAUAGAAUCAACUCAGAAUUUGGGAUCUAAGGGUAAAUAAUAGAAAGUUUAAAGGGUGAAAAUGAAUUAGAAAAAUCUAGUUGUUGCCCUAAAUUCUAUUAUAAAUGCACUGACUCUCACACAGAUUUUUAGACUCUCUGAUCAGAUACACUAUAUAUUUUUUACACAUAUUCCUUCUACAUUUUCAUUGAGAUUUUACUCACAAAAACUUCAAAAAAACAAUAUUAGAUCUGAAAACUAAAACAAUCUGAAAAGAAUGAGUAUGACAGUGGAAUUCUAGGUUAGCUUUGCACCCAAAACAGUUCAUAAGUUGUAGCUUUUUCGAUUGUUGUAUUCUCUCUUGCAUUUCUGGGUUUCGAAGUGGAUCCAGCUUUGAUUACUGGUUGUUUGUUGUUGUUCUCUAUCAACUAGUAGCUGAAUUUCAGUUGUAGAUGUUCUCAACCUUUAUUUGGUCAUUUUGAGACUUGUUUGCUACUGUGUAGGUAUGUUCAAACACCUCUGUAGUUUUAAAUUGAAAUCGGGAGUAAAAUUAAAGUUGUUUACUGCCUAAUUCUAUAGAUCUAGCAUAUUUAAUGGCCAAAUUUGUUUGAAUCUUCUUUUAUGUUGAAUUUGUUUGAAUAUUCUUCUAUGUUUAUCUCUGAUGCAAACAAUAUGCUUAGGUUAAAGCAUGUGAUCCUAUUAGGCAUUGCUUACUAAUGUGAUUUAUUUUGUUGAUGUUUUUGCCUAUUCGAAAAUUGAUGGUUGAAGUAUGAGUUUUCAUGCUAAACAUGUUAUGUUCACGCAUCUGAUUAUCAAAUAUUUGAUUUCACGUAUGAGGAAUCCUAGUUAAUAGGACCUAGCAACAACAAUUUUCUGCAUUUCCAUUCCACAUUGAGGAAAUCACUGGUGGAUAUACAUAGAUUCAUAGUUUAUAGGUUAAUUUGUAAAGUUAAUUAGUUGUGUUUGGAUCAAUCAUUUUGUAUAUUAAUCAUUUAUAUGGACACAUUUUCAGUAAACUACUUGUUGAAAUCAUAUAUAGGAGACGAAUGUUUUUGGCAUGAUUAGUAGUGAUGUUGUUUGUUAAAUGACUAAACUCUGAAAAGUUACAAUUCCUUAUGUUUUUCAAUAUGGACCUGGCGACAAGAUGGCCCAGUUGGUAGGCCUUAAUGACCAAGGACUCUCAGUCCUAUAUGAAACCUGGGCACAUUGUGAUUGGGCCAGUCUUUAGGCCCACUGAUGUCAUUACAUGGUUUUGAAUGGGAAAAUCUACAUGAUUAGAUUGUUCAAUACAACAAAAAGGAGCUUCAAUCUACUUGUCUGCUUGAUACACGAAUUGUUUAAGUAGCCAUAAUAAUUUAGUAGAUAUGAAAUAAACAUUUUUUUCUUGUCU